AUUGCUCUCACGCUGCCUGUAGAGCCUGGUCAAAUGAUUCCGCUGGAAUAUUAAAGGUCAAUGCUUUUUUGGGGCCCACUUGAUACUACUUACUGAAAUCCCUUCAGAGAGUGGCUCCCUUGCCAUUGAGAUGGAAGGUUUGAAGAGCUGUGUGAAGGUAAACUUACAUGACCAAAUGAUGCCCUCUGGGGCUGUGUUAUGGCUCUUGCAAGAAAGCACUGAAGCAAAAUACUGAUAUUUUCUCAGCAGAGGACCCCUUGCUGAAUGGAGAUGCAGGGAGAAGCGCUGGAA